GACGAACGCUGGCGGCGUGCUUAACACAUGCAAGUCGAACGGAAAGGCCCUGCUUUUGUGGGGUGCUCGAGUGGCGAACGGGUGAGUAACACGAGAGUAACCUGCCCUUGACUUUGGGAUAACUUCCGGAAACUGGGGCUAAUACCGGAUAGGAGCACCUGCUGCAUGGUGGGGGUUGGAAAGUUUCGGCGGUUGGGGAUGGACUCGCGGCGUAUCAGCUUGUUGGUGGGGUAGUGGCUUACCAAGGCUUUGACGGGUAGCCGGCCUGAGAGGGUGACCGGCCACAUUGGGACUGAGAUACGGCCCAGACUCCUACGGGAGGCAGCAGUGGGGAAUAUUGCACAAUGGGCGGAAGCCUGAUGCAGCAACGCCGCGUGCGGGAUGACGGCCUUCGGGUUGUAAACCGCUUUCGCCUGUGACGAAGCGUGAGUGACGGUAAUGGGUAAAGAAGCACCGGCUAACUACGUG
rnacentral:rRNA from 1 species